UUCUCAACCCCAUGCUCUCCAUUAAGGACUUUACCUUACAUUUUUUAUUUUCUCCUCUUAUUUUGAGCAAACACGUGUUUCUAAAGAAUAAAAAUAAAAGCUCCAGACAGUUUGCAGGUAAAUCCGAUUGGUUUUUCAUCUAGACUUCAACAUCGUCUCGUGAAUUUAUGACGGCUAACGUGGCGGACCAUCUGUACUGACCAUGGAAAAACGAAGAAAAAAAAACAUCUAAUAGACGGAAAGAGAGGCGUUUUCUCCUCCUUUCUUCAUCUUCUUUGCCCUUUUCACCCUCUCAGCAAUGAAGGCAUAAAGAAGACAAGAAAGCGGAUUAGAGAGCUCCAUCAGCUCUGGCAGGUAAACAGUAAAGCAGAACUGCAGACUAAAAGAUGACGCUUUGGGGAAAACUCAGCUCUUGACACCAUAAAUCACCUCAGCGCUUCAUCAACUGGACGUCCUGGACAAGCUUUAAUCCUACUGACCUCGGCAAACUUUUAAAGCAUCUUGGCAAGAGUACAAGUCCAGCUCACUGCAUCUCCACCAACGUUCCACAGGGAACUGUUCUUGAUCCCCCUCUGUUCUUGACUUAUGUCAGCUCUCCAACUUCCAUCAUUCUUUCAGAUGGUUUUUAAUUUUUUGGGCAUUUUUGUGUUGUUUUCUGACUUUUUUUCUUGCUUUUUUAACUUCUUGGGAUCUUGAGUGAUCAUUCCACAAACUUCUGGAAAAAAAAACAAACAAAAAAAAAAAAAACUCCAAUCUCCUUCACUUCAAACCUGCUAACUUUUCUUCCCAAAAGAUUAAAAGAAUCUGAGAUUUAAAAUUUGUCUAGCCCAACUCUUUGUACAGACACCUAGAGCUGCGUUCACAUGUGGGCAUAUAGCGUAUGCUCUCAGCUCUAUUCUGAUGUGGGUUGUACACAAACUGCAAUUAUUAAUCAUAAGAAAAUGUUAUUUUUAUUUUUUAAACAGUUGACACUGCCAGAAAUGAAAAGGGACACCAUCCAUACGUCGCUACCAAAUCCGAGUCCCUGAUUGGUCAAAGUUCAACUGGUUGAACUUUUAAUGUUCAGUGGGCGCGGGUUUUGUACGUAGAGCACAAAAACAGUCGUAGAAACUUCCAACUUGUGAACGGGAACAUUUUGAACGCGGAAGCCAAAAAUGCGCAUUUACGCAUGUUUUGCAUCAGAAGUGGUCGCUUGAACUUGCCGAAGGCAGUGUGAACAACUCUGACUGACAUUUCUAGCAGGAACACCAGCUUGUAGAGUCAAGCCUUUGCACAUUAUGAGAAAUUGUGUUAUGUAUCUGAUUUAUAAAAGUUACUCUUAACAUGAAACAUUGUUUUGUCAUUUUAUCCUUUUUUAGGCUUCCUUCAGCUGUUGUUUGUUUACAAACAUCCCAUUAAACCACACUGACAGAAAAAGAAGAAGAAAAAAACUGCAGUUUAUUGACCAAAGUUGACAAUUCACAAAACGGUUUAAGCCUCACAAUCGGUUGUUUCUUCAGUGUUUGGCCUCAGCUUGUAAAGACUUGAAAUGAAUAAUCACCAAUUUGACUUCACCUUUUUUCUCUCUGAACGACACAAGAGAAAUUGGAAUUUCCCGUAUUUGAUUGGCUAAAUAGUUCUGUCAUUCCUCAUUUUCCUGUCAUUUAACCACUCGGUUAUUAUUGUUGUUUAGAUAAUGUCUCUAGAAGUGAAUGACUUAGGUGAGGCGAUUACUAUAUGUAUAAUAUAUAGAAAAACUUUUUUUAAAGAAAAAAACACAAAUAUGAUGAAAAAACGAAAAAAUAUUUUGGGGGAAAAAACAUCUUGAAUCGGUUUUGUGAAAUAAAUUAAGGAAAAAUCCAUUUACUGAAAUUAGUUUUUUAGAUUUCUCAUUUGCAUAAAUUGGGAUUUUACUUUUGAUUUAAUUUUUAAAUUUGGUUGAGUAAAAUGUGAUUAUCACACUUGCUUUCUGUUAACAGUCACAACCACUAUUUCAAAUUUACUCAAAUAUAAAUGUUUUAUUAUUAUUAUUUGCUGAAAUUUAAAAAGAAUUCUGUACACAAGAAUAUUAUUUAAGCUCCUUUUUAUUUGAUCGUUUUAUCACUUUCUUUGUUUUUUCUAUCAUGAUUCUAUUCUCCAACAUUUCUCACUUCCUUACUUCUUUUUUUCUUUUUCUUCAAGCUAAUAUUUUUAGCUUCCUCUAACUCGCCUCUAGUCUUCUAAUUUAUUUUUUACCUUGAC